GUUAUUUUGGCAGAUUAGUGCCAUAGACUUAGAAUCUUUAUAAGUAGAAUUAUAUACUACAGGUAAUA
rnacentral:tRNA from 1 species